ensembl:lncRNA
GUGGUGGUGGAGGUGGAGAAGAGGAGAUGUGUUAUCUGUGGGGGUGGUGGUGGUAGUGGUGGUGGUAGGGGUGGAGAAGAGGAGAUGUGUUAUCUGUGGUGGUGGAGGUGGUGGUAGUGGUGGUGGUGGGGAAGAGGAGAUGUGUUAUCUGUGGUGGAGGUGGUGGUAGUGGUGGUGGUGGGGGUGGAGAAGAGGAGAUGUGUUAUCUGUGGUGGUGGUAGUGGUGGUGGUGGUGGAGGUGGAGAAGAGGAGAUGUUUUAUCUGUGGUGGUGGUGGAGGUGGUGGUAGUGGUGGUGGUGGAGGUGGAGAAGAGGAGAUGUGUUAUCUGUGGUGGUAGUGGUGGUGGUGGAGGUGGAGAAGAGGAGAUGUGUUAUCUGUGGUGGAUGUGGUGGUAGUGGUGG